CAUCUUUACUUCACUGUUUCUACAGGGUGUAGCUUAACUUUAUCACUGAAGGCCUUGGUAUGUUAGCAAGGUCCUAACCUGAUAAAUAUUCAUCAAGAUGUUCUUAAAUGGGUGAUUUUUUCAACUGACUUGAACUCCUUCAAGAAUUAUAUUAUAGAACUAGUAGCACAGAAGUAAUCAUUUAGCAGCUGCUGUCAAAAUGUCCAAUAAUGGAUGACACUAAAAGUUCUCUAAGUGGCAUCUGCUCUAAGUUUAUCAUAUGGGUCACUGACUUCUGUAGAAAUUCAGUGAUGGUGAAAUAGCUUUUAUGAUUGUCAACAGAACAGGAAGGGUUAGGUCUAG